rnacentral:rRNA from 1 species
AACGAACGCUGGCGGCGUGCUUAACACAUGCAAGUCGAGCGGAAGUUCCUCGGAGCGAGUACAGCGGCAGACGGGUGAGUACAACGUAGGUAACCUACCCUCGAGACCGGGAUAACCUGUCGAAAGACGGCUAAGUACCGGAUAAGACCACAAGGGCUGCGGCCUUUGAGGUAAAAGAUGCCUCUGCUUGCAAGCUAUCACGUUGGGGAUGGGCCUGCGCGCCAUUAGC